rnacentral:misc_RNA from 1 species
UCUCCGUUGGUGAACCAGCGGAGGGAUCAUUACCGAGUUAUCAACUCCCAAACCCCUGCGAACAUACCCAACGUUGCUUCGGCGGGACCGCCCCGGCGCCCUCGGCGUCCCGGAACCAGGCGCCCGCCGGAGGACCCAACCUCUUGUUUAAACCAUAGUGGCAUAUUCUGGGUCUCACAAGAAAAAUGAAUCAAAACUUUCAACAACGGAUCUCUUGGCUCUG